GUCAAAAGUUUGGACACACCUACUCAAUCAAGGGUUUUUCUUAAUUUAAAUUUUUACUACAUUGUAGAAUAAUAGUAAAGACAUCAAAACUAUGAAAUAACAGACAUGGAAUCAUGUUGUAACCAAAAAACUGUUAAACAAAUCAAAAUAUAUUUUAUAUUUGAGAUUCUUCAAAGUAGCCACCCUUUGCCUUGAUUAAAGCUUCGCACACUCUUGGCAUUCUCUCAACCAGCUUCAUGAGUUAGUCACCUGGAAUGCAUUUAAAUUAACAGGUGUGCCUUGUUAAAAGUUUAUUUGUGGAAUUUCUUUCUAAAUGCAUUUGAACCAAUCAGUUGUGUUGUGACAAGGUAGGUAUGGUAUACAGAAGAUAGCCCUAUUUGGUAAAAGACAAAGUCCAUAUUAUGGCAAGAACAGCUCAAACAAGCAAAGAGAAACAACAGUCCAUCAUUACUUUAAGACAUGAAGGUCAGUCAAUACGGAAAAUGUCAAGAACUUUGAAAGUUUCUUCAAGUGCAGUCGCAAAAAACAUCACGUGUUAUGAUAAAACUGGCUCUCAUGAGGACCACCACAGGAAAGGAAGACCCAGAGUUACCUCUGCUACAGAGGAUACGUUCACUAGAGUUAACUGCGCCUUAGACUGAAGCCCAAAUAAAUGCUUCAUAGAGUUCAAGUAACAGACAUCUCAACAUCAACUGUUCAGAGGAGACUGCGUGAAUCGGGCCUUCAUGGUUGAAUUGCUGCAAAGAAACCACUACUAAAGGACACCAAUAAGAAGAAGAGACUUGCUUGAGGCAAGAAACACGAGCAAUAGACAUUAGACUGGUGGAAAUCUGUCCUUUGGUCUGAUGAGUCCAAAUUUGAGAUUUUUGGUUCCAACCGCCAUGUCUUUGUGAGACGCAGAGUAGGUGAAUGGAUGAUCUCUGCAUGUGUGAUUCCCACCGUGAAGCAUGGAGGAGGAGGUGUGAUGGUGUGGGGGUGCUUUGCUGGUGACACUGUCAGUGAUUUAUUUACAAUUCAAGGCACACUUAAACAGCAUGGCUUCCACAGCAUUCUGCAGCGAUCCCAUCUAGUUUGCACUUAGUGGGACUAUCAUUUGUUUUUCAACAGGACAAUGACUCAAAACACACUUUCAGGCUGUGUAAGGGCUAUUUGACCAAGAAUGAGAGUGAUGGUGCUGCAUCAGAUGACCUGGUUUCCACAAUCCACAAUCACAAUGGUAAAAAUGUAGAAAAACCCUUGAAUUAGUGGGUGUGUCCAAAUUUUUGACUGGUACUCUCACUCUCUCUUUCGCACUCUCGCUCU
rnacentral:lncRNA from 1 species